GAUGAACGCUGGCGGCGUGCUUAACACAUGCAAGUCGAACGAUGAAGCCCAGCUUGCUGGGUGGAUUAGUGGCGAACGGGUGAGUAACACGUGAGCAACCUGCCCCUGACUCUGGGAUAAGCGCUGGAAACGGCGUCUAAUACUGGAUAUGUCCCGUCACCGCAUGGUGUGCGGGUGGAAAGAUUUUUCGGUUGGGGAUGGGCUCGCGGCCUAUCAGCUUGUUGGUGAGGUAAUGGCUCACCAAGGCGUCGACGGGUAGCCGGCCUGAGAGGGUGACCGGCCACACUGGGACUGGGACACGGCCCAGACUCCUACGGGAGGCAGCAGUGGGGAAUAUUGCACAAUGGGCGGAAGCCUGAUGCAGCAACGCCGCGUGAGGGAUGACGGCCUUCGGGUUGUAAACCUCUUUUAGCAGGGAAGAAGCGAAAGUGACGGUACCUGCAGAAAAAGCACCGGCUAACUACGUG
rnacentral:rRNA from 1 species